GAGUUUGAUCCUGGCUCAGGAUGAACGCUAGCUGCAGGCUUAAUACAUGCAAGUCGAGGAGUAACAGAGAGUGCUUGCACUUUGCUGACGACCGGCGCACGGGUGCGUAACGCGUAUGCAACCUACCUUUUACAGAGGGAUACCCAAAAGAAAUUUUGAAUAAUACCUCAUAAGCUCUAUUUAUAGCAUUUUAUAUAGAGGAAAACUCCGGUGGUAAAAGAUGGGCAUGCGUCCUAUUAGUUUGUUGGUAAGGUAACGGCUUACCAAGACUACGAUAGGUAGGGGUCCUGAGAGGGAGAUCCCCCACACUGGUACUGAGACACGGACCAGACUCCUACGGGAGGCAGCAGUAAGGAAUAUUGGACAAUGGAGGAAACUCUGAUCCAGCCAUGCAGCGUGCAGGAAGACGGCCCUAUGGGUUGUAAACUGCUUUUAUAUAGGAAGAAAUCUAUCUACGUGUAGAUAGUUGACGGUACUGUACGAAUAAGGAUCGGCUAACUCCGUGCCAGCAGCCGCGGUAAUACGGAGGAUCCAAGCGUUAUCCGGAAUCAUUGGGUUUAAAGGGUCCGCAGGCGGUCUAUUAAGUCAGAGGUGAAAUCCUGCCGCUCAACGGUAGAAUGGCCUUUGAUACUGAUAGACUUGAGUUAUUGUGAAGUAGUUAGAAUGUGUAGUGUAGCGGUGAAAUGCAUAGAUAUUACACAGAAUACCAAUUGCGAAGGCAGAUUACUAACAAUACACUGACGCUGAGGGACGAAAGCGUGGGCAGCGAACAGGAUUAGAUACCCUGGUAGUCCACGCCGUAAACGAUGGUCACUAGCUGUUUGACUAACAUUGGUUAGU
rnacentral:rRNA from 1 species